rnacentral:rRNA from 1 species
UACGGAGGGUGCAAGCGUUAAUCGGAAUUACUGGGCGUAAAGGGUUCGUAGGUGGUUAAUUAAGUUAUCUGUGAAAUCCCCGGGCUCAACCUGGGCAGGUCAGAUAAUACUGGUUAACUCGAGUAUGGGAGAGGGUAGUGGAAUUUCCGGUGUAGCGGUGAAAUGCGUAGAGAUCGGAAGGAACACCAGUGGCGAAGGCGGCUACCUGGCCUAAUACUGACACUGAGGAACGAAAGCGUGGGGAGCAAACAGG